rnacentral:lncRNA from 1 species
AAAUAAAUGGUUAAAUGGGUAUCCGUUUAUAACCACGAGUAAUACUCAUAACCGCCCAUUUAAAUUUCACGGGUAAAUGGUUAUACCCAUAACAAUUUAUUUAUCUAAACGGUUACCCAUAACCGUAACUGUCAAAUUUAAAUGAGCAGAUAACUACUAUACCCAUAACCAAUGGGUAUUUGCCCAUCCUUACUCCUUGUUUACGAUAUGAAUGAAUGUAUUGGGAGGUCUCUACUUUAACUUGUGCCGCUGCUUUCCUAUUUAGACAUCUUUUCCUUCCUUAAUCCAAAAAUAGGAGAAUUUAUAACCCAAUCCUUCUAGAAAUAUUACAUUAUGUUUGGAUGAAAAAAUUUAAGAUUACUAAGGAAUUUGAAAUUGUCGGAAAUUGAAAUGACAAGAUUUUAUUUUCUAGAAUUUUUUAAUUUCAUGUUUGGUUAACCUAAUAAACAAUGGAAUUGAAUACGGAAUUUGUUAUUUUUAAACUCUCAAUCAUAGAAAUUGGGAGAUGACACAUAUUUACAUGAAAUUUAAACUUGGGAAUUGGAGGUCCCAAAUUCCAAGUUUUUUUUCCACACGGAAAUUCUAAAUUUCUAUGUUUAUGAAUCCAAAUAAGGGAAUUGGAGUAGACCCGGCAGUUUCUGACACGACACGAUGACAUGACACGAAAACGACAUGAAAAUAACGGGUUUCGGGUCAACACGAUAAUUUAUCGGGUCAUUAUCGGGUGACUCGUUAAGAACCCGUUAUUAACGGGUUCUUAAUGGAUAUACACACAAGUAACACGUGGGUACCCGUUUCGACCAGUUAAGAAAAAUUUUAUUUUGAUAAUUUUAGUUUAAUUACUAAAAGAUUUAUUAUAAAAUACAAUAGCCAUAUUAAUAUAUACAAUAUAUUCAAUAUUAAAUAUAUAGUUUUGUAUUAUUAUUCUAUAUACGUUAAAAAAAAAGUUUUUGUCAUUAUUUAUUUUUAUUAUGAGAGUUCCUUAUUAUCAUUACUAGGAUACAUUUUACUUAACAUGUUGUUGUCAAAAAUUAAAAUAAACUAAUAUAGUAUUUGUAUAGGCAAGAACUAAGAAGACAUACAUAUACAUAUGAAAAAUGUGAAAGAUUAUAUAAACACUCGUGAUUCAUCAUUAUUCCUCCACGAGUAGAUAAUAAUUUAGAUUUUUAAAAUCCUCCAAACCUUUGUGAAUAAUGUUUUUUAUUUGAGGGAAAAAUUAAUAAUAAUUAUUGUAGAAGUGUAAAAAAUGUAAAAAAAAAUAUACAAUUACUAACUUUACAACUUUCAUUAAGGGGUCGACUUCGAAAUCCAACACUAUAAUUCAUAAACCUUAAAUUUAUAUUUAACCGUUGAUUGUCAUUUACGCUUUAUUCUUCUUACUGAAUUUCAUUUUUAAAAUUUUCUUUUUGAAAACAUGAUCAUUUGGCGGAUGUAAGAAGAUGAAUGGUUCAGAUCUUUGAUAUCACGUUUCGAUAUUUACGGUUAACUGAAAUAUGAGUCGAUGUCAUAUAGCUUGUAGAAACUUUAUAAACAUCAAGCAAUAUUUUCACUAA